ACCUGAUUAACUAAUUUGGCUAUGAUCGCAAUUAGGAUAGAGUGAGUGGCGGUGAAGAUUUGAGAGAAAAAUCGAGAGAAGAUGCACAGAAAAGAUGGAACGAUCUCUAGGGCUUCCGAUAAAGUAGGAGGAGGAAGCUCAAUAAGGUUUGAUGGAGAAUGUUAGAAUAGAGUAGGGAGUGUGAGAGAAGAGGGUUGGAGGAAAGUCGAGGGAGGAGAGGUGAGAGAAGAAGAGUGGAGUCGAGUCAAGGGAGGAGUCGCAGAGAUGAUUGAAGCCCUAGAUCCAAAGGCGUCGUGAAUUUGGACCUAGAAAAUCACACAGAAGGAUAAACCAAAAUCAACCCCUAUUAUUUAGAACCAAAACUAGAAACCAGAAAACACAGAAAAGGGUAAACCGAUUUAAUCUGCUAGUUUUCUUGAAAUCUAGAAAUUGAACCGAACCAGCUUUUUAAAAAAUUCACCUUUCUGCAUUACAAUAAAAUUGCUUUUUAGCGGCAAUUUAAUAGCGGCGAUUAUCAAACGGCCACUAUUGUACUAUUAUCUUAUUGUAUUUUAGCGAUAAUUAUUUUAAAAUACAUAUUUUUAUCGACUAUUAUUUAUAUAUUAAAUAUAAUCUAACCCAACCUCAACCCUACACCAACCCACCCGAACCCACCCCUCUCUCUAUCGCGACCUCCUUC
rnacentral:lncRNA from 1 species